rnacentral:rRNA from 1 species
GAUGAACGCUGGCGGCGUGCCUAAUACAUGCAAGUCGAGCGAACAGACGAGGAGCUUGCUCCUUUGACGUUAGCGGCGGACGGGUGAGUAACACGUGGGUAACCUACCUAUAAGACUGGGAUAACUUCGGGAAACCGGAGCUAAUACCGGAUAAUAUUUCGAACCGCAUGGUUCGAUAGUGAAAGAUGGCUUUGCUAUCACUUAUAGAUGGACCUGCGCCGUAUUAGCUAGUUGGUAAGGUAACGGCUUACCAAGGCAACGAUACGUAGCCGACCUGAGAGGGUGAUCGGCCACACUGGACCUGAGACACGGUCCAGACUCCUACGGGAGGCAGCAGUAGGGAAUCUUCCGCAAUGGGCGAAAGCCUGACGGAGCAACGCCGCGUGAGUGAUGAAGGUCUUCGGAUCGUAAAACUCUGUUAUUAGGGAAGAACAAACGUGUAAGUAACUGUGCACGUCUUGACGGUACCUAAUCAGAAAGCCACGGCUAACUACGG